rnacentral:lncRNA from 11 species
UCAGACUCAGGGCUCCCUUGUCUUGCAGGUGAACUACUGAAGACGAGUCAGCAAGACCUAAUCCCCAGAAGAAAGAGGUUUAUGUGCAAAGCAUGUUGCCCUAAAUGAGCACUGGACCAACUGGUUUCUGGCACUGGGAAGUCAUCACCUGCUGUAUUUUGUUGAUAAUACUGCCACUGGUGAUGAGAGCCAAAAUAAUCUGGACUCGGUUGCUACAGACAGCCUGCAUGAUGCAUAGCUGGAUUUGCAGCACAAUCGCUCCAUCCAGACUUUACUCCACGUCAAGGGAGCACGGGAUUUACUCUGCAGAUUCUUAGAAAACGCUUUCAGGUAAUCUCUAGAAGAUUCAAAAUGCUUUUGUUUCCUACUGCAAGGCUUAGCUGACUUGGCAGUUU